UACGUAGGGUGCGAGCGUUAAUCGGAAUUACUGGGCGUAAAGCGUGCGCAGGCGGUUGUGCAAGUCAGAUGUGAAAUCCCCGGGCUUAACCUGGGAACUGCAUUUGUGACUGCACAGCUGGAGUGCGGCAGAGGGGGAUGGAAUUCCGCGUGUAGCAGUGAAAUGCGUAGAUAUGCGGAGGAACACCGAUGGCGAAGGCAAUCCCCUGGGCCUGCACUGACGCUCAUGCACGAAAGCGUGGGGAGCAAACAGG
rnacentral:rRNA from 1 species